rnacentral:tRNA from 1 species
GCCUGGGUGGCUCAGUGGUUGAGCAUCUGCCUUUGGCUCAGGUUGUGAUCCCAGGAUCCUGGGAUCAAAUCCCACAUCGGGCU